rnacentral:rRNA from 1 species
AUUGAACGCUGGCGGCAUGCCUUACACAUGCAAGUCGAACGGUAACAGGUCUUCGGAUGCUGACGAGUGGCGAACGGGUGAGUAAUACAUCGGAACGUGCCCGAGAGUGGGGGAUAACGAAGCGAAAGCUUUGCUAAUACCGCAUACGAUCUCAGGAUGAAAGCAGGGGACCGCAAGGCCUUGCGCUCACGGAGCGGCCGAUGGCAGAUUAGGUAGUUGGUGGGAUAAAAGCUUACCAAGCCGACGAUCUGUAGCUGGUCUGAGAGGACGACCAGCCACACUGGGACUGAGACACGGCCCAGACUCCUACGGGAGGCAGCAGUGGGGAAUUUUGGACAAUGGGCGCAAGCCUGAUCCAGCCAUGCCGCGUGCAGGAUGAAGGCCUUCGGGUUGUAAACUGCUUUUGUGCGGAACGAAAAGACUCCUUCUAAUAAAGGGGGUCCAUGACGGUACCGUAAGAAUAAGCACCGGCUAACUACGUGCCAGCAGCCGCCGUAAGAC